GAAAUGCGAUAAGUAAUGUGAAUUGCAGAAUUCCGUGAAUCAUCGAAUCUUUGAACGCACAUUGCGCCCUCUGGUAUUCCGGGGGGCAUGCCUGUCCGAGCGUCAUUGCGAACCCCUCAAGCACGGCUUGUGUGAUGGGCCCUCCCGCGUCUUGGUCGUCAAGACGGGCCCGAAAUGCAGUGGCGGCUUCGCGGUUAUCCGAUCAGCCAGAGCGUAUGGGGACUUUCUCUCUGUCACACGCCCGCGGCGCGGACCGACGCCUGUCGACCUUCAUUCAUCGUUUUCUCGGUUAACCUCGGAUCAGGUAGGGAUACCCGCUGAACUUAAGC
rnacentral:misc_RNA from 1 species